rnacentral:lncRNA from 1 species
GGUUGUGCUGCGUGUGUAAGGAGGGGAGUAUAUCGUGUUCAUGUUUCACAGUGCUCUAGACUUCGGCGGUGGUAUUGGGAGAGUUGUUUUCCUUGCCGUUGUCUCCCUCCUUCACCGGAUUGAGGGUAGCUUUGACUCCGGUGAUUGGAAGUUCCGAUGACGGGAUGAAACUGAACGGCGGAGUUUGAAGACAGCUCCAUCUAGGGUUUUUUCUUUAGUUGUGUAGGUUGUACCGGUUAACCGGGUUUGGUUGAUUCUGACCUUGUAAACCACCAAAAUGGAGCAAACACAUGUUUUGAUCGAUGAUAUGUCCAACAUUUUGAUAAUAAUUAUAAUUGACUAAAAAUUAAUCAUCAUGCAUGCAUGCUCCAUAUUUCUAAAAGGUUACAUAUAAACAUAUAAUAUAGGACAUUCUUGAAUUAAGCAUC